AGACCCUUCCUCUUUCGGGAAGUGAGGCCGAACGGACAGCCGGGUCAAUAGCCGA
rnacentral:sRNA from 12 species